AGCGGCGGACGGGUGAGUAACGCGUGGGUAACCUGCCUCAUACAGGGGGAUAACAGUUAGAAAUGACUGCUAAUACCGCAUAAGACCACAGCACCGCAUGGUGUAGGGGUAAAAACUCCGGUGGUAUGAGAUGGACCCGCGUCUGAUUAGGUAGUUGGUGGGGUAACGGCCUACCAAGCCGACGAUCAGUAGCCGACCUGAGAGGGUGACCGGCCACAUUGGGACUGAGACACGGCCCAA
rnacentral:rRNA from 1 species